GACGAACGCUGGCGGCGUGCUUAACACAUGCAAGUCGAACGGAAAGGCCCUGCUUUUGUGGGGUGCUCGAGUGGCGAACGGGUGAGUAACACGUGAGUAACCUGCCCUUGACUUUGGGAUAACUUCAGGAAACUGGGGCUCAUACCGGAUAGGAGCUCCUGCUGCAUGGUGGGGGUUGGUAAGAUUCGGAGGUUGGGGCUGGACUCGAGGGUUAUGAGCUUGUUGGUGGGGUAGUGGCUUACCAAGGUUUUGAAGGGUAGCCGGCAUGGGAGGGGUACCGGCCACAUUGGGACUGAGAUACGGCCCAGACUGCUACGGGAGGCAGCAGUGGGGAAUAUUGCAGAAUGGGCGGAAGCCUGAUGCAGCAACGCCGCGUGCGGGAUGACGUCCUUCGGGUUGUAAACCGCUGUCGCCUGUGACGAAGCGUGAGUGACGGUAAUGGGUAAAGAAGCACCGGCUAACUACGUG
rnacentral:rRNA from 1 species